GCUUUAGCAAUUUGGGUUUGACCAGACUUUUCUUGCCUGAGGCCUGGGGUGAGUUUGUCUCGCCGAGCUCCUGACCAAGCAUCCAUCAAGGAGAGGACUUGGAGACAUGCAGGUGACAAGCAAAGGAGACGCUUGAAUGGCUUUCCCCCCGCACACGGAAGCGCAGGGAGCAGGACGUCGUCUCUCAUUGUGAUGGGAAAGGUUAUCGGGUCCGAAACAAAAGUGAAAUCAUCCACUGGCAUUCCUGGGACAGAAAUAGCUGCUGCUUCCAGCACUGACGUUAUCACAGAGGAAGGAAGGCUCCGGAUCCAGGCUGUCCCGCUCCAGGGCUCACGUACUGGCCCUGCAGCGAGCCAGCAGCAGGGCUGCCAGCGAGCAGAAGCAAAAUGAGGCAUUUUUACCACGGCAGAUUAAAGAGAACUUAGUGCAUGAGCUCCCAAAGUUGCCAUCACUGCCAAGCAGCCACAGAGCCUCACACAAGCAACACUCAGCAAGAGCCCAGCGAAGAAUCUCAUCCGCCUCAUGUUAAUGUUCAGGGCUAGAGCCCUCCUGGGGACAGCACGGGGUGGGGAGAGCUGUGGCAGAUGGACACCCCUAACAGGGACUCUGUGAGCCUCUGGCCCUGCUGCUGCCAGCCUGGGGCUGUGGUGCCCUGCCUGUGGAACUGGGUCUGCACAGGAACAUGGGCAGCCAAGGCAAGGCUUGGCUGUCAGUUCACUAAAAGCAUCUUUACCGUU